rnacentral:rRNA from 1 species
UACGGGGGGGGCAAGCGUUGUUCGGAAUUACUGGGCGUAAAGGGUUCGUAGGUGGCCAACUAAGUCAGACGUGAAAUCCCUCAGCUUAACUGGGGAACUGCGUCUGAUACUGAUUGGCUUGAGUGCAGGAGAGGAACGCGGAAUUCCAGGUGUAGCGGUGAAAUGCGUAGAUAUCUGGAGGAACACCGGUGGCGAAGGCGGCGUUCUGGACUGCAACUGACGCUGAGACACGAAAGCGUGGGGAGCAAACAGG